UUCGUGUAUACUUCUAUGUUCUUUUGUAUUCUCUGGUUGAAACAAGUGGCACAAAAGUGGAUUUUUCAGCAUCAUCGAAACCAUAAUGAAAGGAUUAAGUUGAAAAAUAAUUCAAAAAGAAAUAGCGAUGAUGACAAACAAAGGCGAAGAGAAAAAUGGAUGAUUCGACAAAAACUUGAGAAAGAGCACGAAAAAUUAAAGAGAAAAAAGAUAUUAGAGUACGAGUCGAAACGAGCCCAUGAACUUAACGCAAGUAUCAGCAGAGGAAGAUCAGCGAAUGAAAGCGAUAGCAAAACUAGAGAUAGAUCUUUAGAGAAAAAAUCUCUGGAGAAAAAAACUAAAGCUACAAGUUCUAAAUCAUCCGUUAUGGCUGAGAAAUUGGAUACUUCUGGCAGCGGUGGUUCAACUACUAUAUUUCAAGGCCCGGAGGGAAUUAAAAUAAGCGAGAAAGAACUGCAUUGUAUUAAAGUAAAUGUACAUAGAAAUUUGUCUGUAGAAACGCCAUCGAGCGAAUUAAAUCGUGACAUUAUUAAACCAGAGGAGGUUGUCAUAAUAAGAAGAAGUGGAGAAGGUUCAAAACCAAUCUUUGAAAGGGAAAAGUUACAGAGUUCUUCCAAGAAACAUAAAGAAAUCGAAGAACGUCGUACAGUGAUGGCUAUUGAAAGCGGAGACACAGGUAACAAAUCGGAAUCAUUUAGAAGACAUUCUCCACCUUCUAAUUUGUUAAGGCAUCGUAGUCAAUGUUCUUCAUCUUCUCGACGUUCCAAGUCAAAAGAAUCAAAUGAUUCGAGUUAUAAAUCUGAUCGGAAUAUUAGCAAAAAAAGUGAUAGACGACAAAGUAGAGAAAGAUAUCGUGAAAGGGAUAGAAGAGACAGCGAACAUGAUCGUCCAAGCAGUAGCAGCAACAGAUACAGAUCAUCUCAAAAUAGAGAGAGCUCUUAUCGAGAGUAUAGAAGUUAUCGACGUAAUUCUUCUCCCAAACAAGAUUUUAGUCAUAGGAGUGAAUCACGGAGGGGUGAUAAGGAAGAGGAAAGCAGCAGUAGCAGCAAAUUCAGGAAUUAUUCCAGUAAUAGAGAGAGAAGAUCUAGAUCUCGUUCUAGAUCCAGAGAUAGUAGGUAUAGAGAGAGACAAAUGGUACCAUCCUAUUGCGUCGACCAAAUGCCUUAUCCAGUUUAUUACGGGUUACAGCCACAACCUAUGAUGAUGGGACCCAUGAUGCCAAUUAGAGGACAAGUUCCUAUGCCCAGAGGCGGCGGAUUACCUCCUUCGUUGAUAGGACCCAUAAGACCAUUUCCAUCUCGUUUCAUGCCACCUAGUGUAUUUGGGCUACGUCCGCCAUCCAAUUAUAGGUUUGGACCAAUGCUUUAACAGGAUUUAUUGUUAGGAGAAAAUUAUCUAACAAUUUUAUAUUUACUAAAUACAAGUAUAUUUUAUCUUAUGCAACUUAUGUAAUUUAUUUUAAAACGUGUUAAGUUAAAAUAACGUAGUAUAGAUAUUGAUCGAUGAAAUAAAAUCUUUUACAUUGAAUUACGAAAAAUAAUGAAUUGAAAAUAAAGCGCCUUUUUAAGCGAGCCAAUCAUA
rnacentral:misc_RNA from 1 species